AUGGUAGGUGGGGGGUCACUUUGGGGUUGGGUUCAAAUUUUUCUUCCCCCCCCCAAAAAAAAUAGAAUUGUCUUAGGGGAAAGGCUGGAAAGGCACAGAAGGCAGGGGUCGCGGUCCCUGGUCACCGUCAGGACCGUGCCCCCCCCCCCGCCCGCUUUCAUUCCCCAGGCUGCGCCGUGUGUGCGCCACGUGCCUCCCGGCCCGGCGCGCGACGCCCGAGGAUGCCCGAGGAUCGCGCCGCGAGCGGCCGUGGCUCCCACCUCUUUGCGCGUCUCACGCAGCCCGGGGGUGCAGGGGCAGCCGGCCGCGUCCGACGCCGGGCAGAGGGCCGCGGGCUCCGGGCGGGCUCCGGGCGGGGGGUCACCCGCGGGCCGGGCCGGGCCGGGCCGGGCGCCAGCAGCGCGCGCAGGAGCCUCGGGCCGGGCGCACCGCGGCGGCCACCUCUCGGCCCCGGCCGGCUUACGCAACCACCUCGCCUCCGUCAUCCGCGCCCUAAUUGUGCAGGGGGCGGUGUCUGUGUGCGGCGCGUUCUCUGCCCGCCGCGGGCCGCCGCGCUCCCCGGGGAGACGCGCGAGGGCCUGGUCACCGCCGCCCACGCAGCCCCACGGGGCUCGGCCGCAGCCGCUCCCCCCCCCCCCCCCCCGCGGGCGGCUCGCCAGCGCCCCCCUCGCGCCUGCCCGCGCCCGCCCCGAGGAGGAGGGGCCCCCGCCGGGGUCCGCGCCACGCCCGGGUCCUCGGUGGGCAACAGGUAGCCGCGCCGCUGCGUGCUCGGGGACACACAAAGCGCCUCCGGGAGUGCGCGCGGCGGCCGCGGGGGGGGCGGCGCUGGGAGAGCCGGCCGGGGGCUCGGGCCCCUCCGCCGCCCCCCGCCCGCCCGCGGGCCCGGCCGCUGCGCACCCCCGGAGCCGGGCGCGGGGCGCGGGGCGCGGGGCGCGGGGCGCGGGGCGCGGGGCGGCGGCCGCGGAGGGAGGCGGGCGGGCUGGCGGGCGGGCGGCGGCGCGGCGCGGAGGGGGGGCGGAGCGGGCGUGGGGAGGGGCGGGGAGGGGCGGGGAGGGGAGGGGAGCGGAGGGGAGCGGAGGGGGCGGGGAGGGGAGCGCAGGGGGCGGAGGAGGGGCGGGCCGGGGGCGGGGCCGCGGAGAGCCCGCCCCCGCCGGCCGCGGCCAUUGGCGGCGGGCCGGGGGCGGGUGCGGGCGCGGCGAUUGGGGCCCGGGCCGCCCGUCACGGCGAGGCUGGCGGGCGGCGACGUAG
rnacentral:lncRNA from 1 species